GCCGUGAGGUGUCGGCUUAAGUGCCAUAACGAGCGCAACCCUUGUCAUUAGUUACCAUCAGGUCAAGCUGGGGACUCUAAUGAGACUGCCACCGUAAGGUGAGAGGAAGGGGGGGAUGACGUCAAAUCAGCACGGCCCUUAUGUCCGGGGCGACACACGUGUUACAAUGGGGGGUACAGAGGGCAGCCAUCCGGCGACGGAGCGCCAAUCUCAAAAACCCUUCUCAGUUCGGAUUGGAGUCUGCAACCCGACUCCAUGAAGUUGGAUUCGCUA
rnacentral:rRNA from 1 species